GUACCAGUUUCGUGGCUUUGAAUAGUCGUAUAUUUCCUGAUAUUAUAUGCUGCUCCUGCUGUUUAUUUCCAUUUUCUUUAUAAUUCAAAGAAAAGUAAGAAAAAAAGUGAAAUAAAAGUAGAUUCAGGUUGCUGUUAAACCGGAUCGCCACGAAAUGAAACUCGGUUUCGCUUCUGCUGCAAGCAGCAACAAAUGACGGCACAUUUCUCUGUUUUUAACUUUCUGAGAGAAAAUUGUUGAGAUUUUCAGAAAAAUGUUGCUGCCACAGGUGUAAUCCUUUUUUAGUUGUACAUUUACUGAUAUAUUCGUGGGAAGGAAAGUUUGCCCCUUGGAAAAAUACAGGUGUGCUUCUUCAAGCGCUCUGUGAGCCACAGGAGUUAGAGGGUGCGUGUCCUGCAUGAAACAGAAGAGUCACACCAGCACUGUAUGGAGGAAGAUGGGGUUUCCAAACCACAGGAGCACCGUCCUGGGAGCCUAGCCUUCAGCAGCGUACAGCCAGAGUUCCUCACCGUGGGACAGACAGUGGCGCUUUGCACAAGACGUUGCAAAGGAUUUAUUGAUCUCAAAAGAAAACGGCAUUGCUCUAACACAAGUGACGCACCGCGGAGAAGACAAAUUUCCUGUUCCCUUAAUGGAGAGGAUAAGAAAAAAAGCAAGUAAGUAAAUGAACAAGACAAUUUCAGCAAAUAUGUGUUAUGAAGAAAAUAAAAUGGGUGAAACAGGGGGAAAAUAACUUUUGUUUUAAAAGUAAAUAACAACACUGGAGUCAGUCGUUGUUCCACUCCUGGAC
rnacentral:lncRNA from 1 species